rnacentral:rRNA from 1 species
AGAGUUUGAUCAUGGCUCAGGACGAACGCUGGCGGCGUGCCUAACACAUGCAAGUCGAACGGGGAUUAUUCGGAUGAAGUUUUCGGAUGGAUGAAGAAUGAUUCUAGUGGCGAACGGGUGAGUAACACGUGAACAACCUGCCCUGAAGUGGGGGAUAACACUUGGAAACAAGUGCUAAUACCGCAUAAGACCACGACCCGGCAUCGGGAUGAGGUCAAAGAUUUAUCGCUUUAGGAGGGGUUCGCGUCCCAUUAGGUAGAUGGCGGGGUAACGGCCCACCAUGCCAACGAUGGGUAGCCGAGCUGAGAGGCUGAUCGGCCACACUGGAACUGAGACACGGUCCAGACUCCUACGGGAGGCAGCAGUGGGGAAUAUUGGGCAAUGGGCGCAAGCCUGACCCAGCAACGCCGCGUGAGGGAAGAAGGUUUUCGGAUUGUAAACCUCUGUCGCAAGGGACGAAGAAGUGACGGUACCUUGUGAGGAAGCCCCGGCUAACUACGUGCCAGCAGCCGCGGUAAUACGUAGGGGGCGAGCGUUGUCCGGAAUUACUGGGCGUAAAGGGUGCGUAGGCGGCUAUUUAAGUUGGAUGUGAAAUACCCGGGCUUAACUUGGGGGGUGCAUUCAAAACUGGAUGGCUAGAGUUCAGGAGAGGGAAGCGGAAUUCCUAGUGUAGCGGUGAAAUGCGUAGAUAUUAGGAGGAACACCAGUGGCGAAGGCGGCUUUCUGGACUGACACUGACGCUGAUGCACGAAAGCGUGGGGAGCAAACAGGAUUAGAUACCCUGGUAGUCCACGCUGUAAACGAUGAAUACUAGGUGUAGGGGGUAUGAACUCCCCCUGUGCCGUAGCUAACGCAAUAAGUAUUCCGCCUGGGGAGUACGGCCGCAAGGUUGAAACUCAAAUGAAUUGACGG